AGGAAAGUAAGCUUGAAUCUUAAUCAAAUGAGGAUACUUCCAAGAGGUGUUGUGAUUUUUUUAACAAUUUAUAUGCUGAGCUUUUUGUUUCAAGGCUACUACGAAGAUAACUUAUUUGGUACACCUGGUACAAAUUAUAUUUGUUAUUUAGUCAAUUCUUUUUAUUGAACAGCAUUUUAAUUGUUCCAUGAUUGUUUUUUUUUUUUUUAUCAACUCUAGAUUUCAUAUUCAUAUACACAUAUUCUUACAUUGACUUUAUUUAGAAGCCCACAUCUUGUAUCUUUAUGUUGUACCUAUUUUUAAUAUGUUCCAUGGCUCAUCAAAUAGUUUGCCUCAUGGAUAAUUUGACAAUUCAUUUUUGAUGGAAAAUGUCCUAUUCCUCCAAAGUACUAUUUUAGCGUAUGUUGUUUUAGAUUGUUUAUUAUAGUAGUAAGAUAAUAUACCAUAAAAGCAGUACCAUUUUCUGAUAUUACAUUCUUUUGUGCUAUAAUUUGAUCUUGUUUAAUUGAUAUUAAACAUCUCUGAAAUUUUCAUGUGCCAUAAGGGGAAAUUUAUUUCUAAUUCUAUUCCCUCCUCUUUACUUCUGAAAUUUAUUUCUCAUUCUUGAUACAGUUAAACAACAUGUUCUUAUUGCUACAGUUUAUCCUUCUCAGAAGGACCAUGAAGCCUUUGAUCAUCCUGUUACAUGUAAGUUUUUAAAGUCCAUUGUUUCUCAUUUUCACAUUAAAAUUACAUGGUUUUGUUUAUGUAAGUACAUUUCCUGUGAUACAAUCUGUUUUUUAAUUUUUUUUUAUCAAGUAAAACUUGAAUGACAUGGAGUUUUUCAUAAAGUACAGUUUUCUGGAAAAAUAACAAUUCUAUAUAACCAUCCGUAAAUAUAAACUUUUUCUCAGUUUCAACAGUUAUAGCAUUGCACUUUCAUCUUUUUUUUUGUUAUUAGAGCAUUAUGCUUUAAAAAAUUUACACAAUAUUAAAAUUGUACUUUUUUUCUUAUUGUGACAUUAUAGUUUGAAUAAUCUACCCAUUAAUUUAUAGCAUCGAACUUUCAAUUUUUUUUUCUUUUUAGGACAUUAUACUCCAAAAAGAUUUACCUAAUUAAGCAGUGAAAUGGCUUUGUAUUUGUAUGACAUUUUCUAAAACUGCCAUACUUCUAUGAAGAGGAGAAUUUUUCUAUUUGGGGACACCUGGCAUGCUCCUUUGGCAUGCCUCUUUUAGAAGUUGUAUACUCAUUUCUGUUAUGUUUCUCCAUGUUUCAAAGUUUUUGCUCAGAUUCUUGCAUGUUUUGUAAAUUUUGGGUUUUAAUUUUUCCUUUUUUUUUUCUUGAUAUAUUACAUCUGAUGGGAUUGAUAUUUAGCGUUCAAAUAACCCUUUUUUUUUUUUUUUAAUAAGUGCUGCCUAGAUAACGGCGUCUUAUAUUUACUGGAUUUGUGUCUAUAUCUAUGAUUGACUUGAUAAAAAAAAUGCUUUCUUUUAGCAAAGAAUUCAAUCUAUUUUUUAUGUUAAAAAGUUCACUUAAUUAAAAAGUUAUUAAUGUCAAAUUUAUAAUUAAGUGAUGCUUUCUUGUCUAUAUCAGUGGCCUUUCUCUUGCUCUUCCAUGAAACCCCCUUCCCCCUAUGUACAUAUGUAAUUAUUGUGGUCCGGUUGUUAAAAUUUGCAUGCUGUUCUUUUUACUCAAUGAAAUUUAUAUAAUAUGGAUACAAUAAUAGAGAUUAUAAGUAUUAACAGAUAGUAGUCUUGCUACAGUUAAACAGCAUGCAUGUUCUUAUUGUCACAGGUUGGUGGUUUAGGUCCAAAAGGGAAUCUUUGGUCCUUAUUUCAAGGUUUCAUAAUGUUUUCGGUACCUGGGUAGAUGUUAAAUUAAUAAUGAAAAUGACCAUUUUGUCCCUGUCAUCUUCAUCCCUUUCAUUUCCAUUUUCAUCAAAAUUUCUCUCCUAGAUCCUUAGAAAUAAUCAUCAUAUAUGUUGAAGGAGCCAAAUUAAACCCUAACUCCCUAAAAAACAUAAUAAUCUUUUUGAAAAUACUAUACUCAUUUCAUGGUGUGUAAUGUGUUUGGUCUCAACUUCAAACAGCCUAUAUGUUAAAUUUAUGAAAAAGACCAUUUUGCCAAUGUCUUUUUCAUCUCUUCCAUUUCCAUGUUAAAAUUCACCACUUGUCUUCAAAAAUUAGCUGUCUUUAUGUUUAAGGAGCAUAAUAACUUUAACAACACAGAUGUUAGAUAUUCACCACUUCUCUUAAAAAAUUAUCUAUCUUUUGCAUGAUAUAUUAUUGUUCACUUAAUUGUUCUACAACUUUCAUCUUGGUUAUUGCUACUAUUAUUAUUAUUUAUAGAGUAAAUUACAGUUUCGUCCUUGUGAUAUUUCAAAAUUUAUGGUUUUCAUCUAGAUAUUUCUUUUGUUGCACAAGUGGUUGAUAAAGUGUAGUUUUGUUGCAAGGUUUUUCCCUGGAACUAAUGCUGUUACAAAAUGUCUGUGAAGUUCAAUUGAAAUGACUAUUUUGUCCCCAUAUUUUUCUCCUUCAUCCUCUAAACCUAAAAAUUCCUCAAUCUCCAUCUGAAAAUCCAAUCAAACCAAAACCCAAAUAUUAAAACUAAAACUAAAACAAAAUUAAGAUCCAGGGUACCAACAAAUUGGGAAAAAAAAGACCAUGGAUCUUGAUUUUGUUUUAAUUUUUUUGGGUUUUGAUUGAAUUUAGUUAGGUUUUUAUGAUUUACGAUGAAGGAGAUUGAGAAGAUGAAGAUAAGGGUAAAAAGUCAUUUUACUUAAAACUAAUCUGUCAUUUUAUUUAAACAUUUUUUUUACACCAUUAGUGCCAGGGUCGAUCAUUGCAAAAAAACUCAUUUUGAUUGCUAAUUAUUUGUGUUUUUUUUUGUUAUACUCAAUAUUUUGCUAAUAUUUGUAAGAAACAAUUUUUUUUUCACAGGGUUUGAGUGAUCUCUCUUCAAUAUCAUUAUUCAUCAUGAAAGAGGAAUCACAAGUUUUCUAGUGUUUUUUUUUUUUUUUUUUUUUUUUUUAAG
rnacentral:lncRNA from 1 species